ensembl:lncRNA
GGAUGACCGAGUAGGAUGACCGAGUUGGAUGACCGAGUUGGAUGACCGAGUAGGAUGACCGAGUAGGAUGACCGAGUUGGAUGACCGAGUAGGAUGACCGAGUUGGAUGACCGAGUUGGAUGACCGCUCAAACCUAUUUUUCCCCAGUCGGAGUUCGUUUUUACCAAGGUGAAAGUUGCUUUGAACAGCACAUUUCAGACAACAACAGCGAUCGUGACUUCUAAUAUUUCACGUUUUUAUGUCACAUGCACAAGUACAGUGAAAUGCCUUGUUUUCAAAACCCAACAAUGCAGUAUUCAAUAAGAAUGUAUUACAAGUAAGUAAGAAUACUAUAUACAGGGUCAGUUAGUACCAUACUAUAUACAGGGGCAGUUAAUACCAUACUAUAUACUAUAUACAGGGUCAGUUAGUACCAUACUAUAUACAGGGUCAGUUACUACCAGACUAUAUAGAGGGUCAGUUAAUACCAUACUAUAUACUAUAUAGAGGGUCAGUUAAUACCAUACUAUAUACUAUAUACAGGGUCAGUUAAUAUCAUACUAUAUACAGGGUCAGUUAAUACCAUACUAUAUACAGGGUCAGUUAAUACCAUACUAAAAACAGGGUCAGUUAAUACCUUACUAUAUACAGGGUCAGUUAAUACCAUACUAUAUACCGGGUCAGUUAGUACCAUACUAUAUACAGGGACAGUUAAUACCAUACUAUAUACAGGGUCAGUUAAUACCAUACUAUAUACAGGGGCAGUUAAUACCAUACUAUAUACAGGGUCAGUUAAUACCAUACUAUAUACAGGGUCAGUUAAUACCAUACUAUAUACAGGGUCAGUUAAUACCAUACUAUAUACAGGGUCAGUUAAUACCAUAUACAGGGUCAGUUAAUACCAUAUACAGGGUCAGUUAAUACCAUACUAUAUACAGGGUCAGUUAAUACCAUACUAUAUACAGGGUCAGUUAAUACCAUACUAUAUACAGGGGCAGUUAAUACCAUACUAUAUACAGGGGCAGUUAAUACCAUACUAUAUACAGGGUCAGUUAAUACCAUACUAUAUACAGGGUCAGUUAAUACCAUACUAUAUACAG